GUUGUUAUUUACAGGUUCUUUCAUGUGUCCCUAUGGGCCCUCAUCGGAUGUUGAUUUCGGGCUCUCCCCCACCUUGGCUAAUCAUCCUUAUUAGAUUCCUAUAAAAUAAAAAAAAUUAGGUAAAUAAAAUAAAAUACUGGGUUUCCUCCCAACGAGUGCUAGGUUUAAGGUUUUUAGCCAGACCAAGCCAAAGGUCAUGGUGGUUCAU
rnacentral:lncRNA from 1 species